GUUUGACCUCGGAUCAGGUAGGGAUACCCGCUGAACUUAAGCAUAUCAAAAACCGGAGG
rnacentral:rRNA from 1 species